UGGGAAUAUUGGGGCAAUGGGGCGAAAGCCUGACCCAGCGACGCCGCGUGAAGGAAGAAGGCCCUCGGGUUGUAAACUUCAGUCAACAGGGAAGAAACAAAUGACGGUACCUGUGGAGGAAGCCACGGCUAACUACGUGCCAGCAGCCGCGGUAAUACGUAGGUGGCAAGCGUUAUCCGGAUUUACUGGGUGUAAAGGGUGUGUAGGCGGGUCUGCAAGUCAGAUGUGAAACUAUGGGCUCAACUCAUAGCUUGCAUUUGAAACUGUGGAUCUUGAGUGUCGGAGAGGUAAAUGGAAUUCCCGGUGUAGAGGUGAAAUUCGUAGAUAUCGGGAGG
rnacentral:rRNA from 1 species